rnacentral:lncRNA from 1 species
AAAAUAGUAAGUCUCCUCAUUUCACGCAGGCUUUAAAAUUACAUUUCCAAGAAUAAUCUUGGAACGAGGCAAGUUUUUGUUCAAUUAAUUGUGGCUGGAAACUUUUUAAUGGAAACAUAGCACACACUUAUUCAUUUCAGGUUACUAGAUUGUGUGAAGCAUUCAAGUUAGUUGCCCUGCUUUGCUGUAGCUCAUUUGUUCUUUUUGAUCUGAAGAAAUAUUAGAAGGAUAAAGCUUAUCACAUAGGGGGAUUAAUCACGUUACCAAAAUUAGAAAGCAUGUAGUUGUGAAAAACUGAGUUGCAGAACUGUAUGCUCACAGCACUUGGGCUAUUGGGAAUCCAGGAUGUCCCUGCCACAUCUAAGAUGGCAGCUCGUGUCUGUGGAAACCCCUGGCGCUCGGAAGCUGGCUAAGGCUAGGGUUCUCUUACAUUGGUUAAGGGUGCCACUUUCAGAUAAAAACAUAGACCUGAAUGGCAUCAUCCUGUCUCCAAGGAAACUGUCACCUGGCUCCUGCUCAUUCAGUAGCGAGGACUGGAUAUGGGAGAAAUGUUACCUGGCAACCUGAGAUGGCCCACAGCAAGAGCUUAGUGGCCAGCAUGGACCAUCUGACCUCUUGGUGACCAGAGUGGAGAGGAAUGGUCAUGGUGUGGAGAGGGUGAGAAGGAUUCACAGAUGUCAAAUAAGAUAUGGAUGUAUCCAUUGAGAGGGUGGAUAUUCUCCUGAGAGAUGCACACAAAUGAAAUUGCAGAACCUGAGUCCACAUGGGUCUACAUGGAGUUUUAAAGUAACAGAGAAUAGAUUUUUCUACUGGGAAUUAAGUUAGUAAAUGAAAAUAGCAGUUGAACAUUUGGAGGGCAUUUUGGGAUCUGCUUACAGAGAGCUUUACAAGACAAUUUGAUAAGUGUUGUCUUUAUUCUGUACUCACUGGUGAAGUAUUGAGGCAUGGUCUAUCUAUCAAUAGAUGUCUUGGAUUCUGAAUUUGUCAGUAGGUUUGUAUUUAUCCUCUAGGCCAAGAUGUCAAAAACUUAUCACAGUUUAAGGCACACUGAUGUCAGUCAUUUUAUGGAGACUACCUUCUCCUGUAUACAGAGCAGAGAAGAAAUGAGUUGACCCGGGAAAAUGGCUUUUCCUUUUUUUUUUUAAUCAAGACAGAGUGAUACACAUUCAUUUUUCGUUCUGGGCAUGUAGACCAAGAAGUAGGCACACAUUUCAGACUGAAUCUGAGAGAUGUGAGAAGUAUAAAGAUAACCUAUUUUACUUUGAAUGUUAAAGGAAGUUGCUGUUAACAUUGAAAUAAAACUCCUAGGCUGGGGCUGUAGGCCACUGGUAGAGUGCUUAUCUAGCUUGUGCAUAGCCUUGUCAAGCACUACAAAAAAAUAAAUUCGUAAAAUAAAAAUACCAGUCUUCAUAAAUU